GACGAAAACGUGCCUAGCGUACUUCUGCUACGGUUGUCGUUGUCCAAUAACGUCCCCCACCCCUUCUUUUUCGUCUUAUCCUGAUUUGACCCCCCCCCCAACGUGUCCAUGAGAAGGUUGGCACCGCUCCUCACCACCGCUCCAUCCCUCUCCUCCGUCAUCCUCAAUGGGCCUAGCACGUAUGGAGGCGCACGCGCGAUGUCGCCGUGCCGCGCCAUAACGACGAUGGCCGUCUGCGAGGCGUCGUCGGACGCACUGACCACCUUCACCUCCUUCGAAGUGGAGAGUGAGCUGUCACUUGCACAAGAAGACCUGGAACAGCUGCAGUCCGUUCUGCAGAGUGUUCGCUCAUCGUCGAAUGCCCCGGCCUCUGCGAAGAUGCGGCACGUGUCAACGCCCUCACCGCCGAGGCCGGCUGCGUCGUCGUCGGUCUCUGUAACACCACCGUCGAUGAAGUCUUCAGUGGCAUCAACGCCACCGUUAAGGGGCCAUCCGCUGCCUCUCGUACGCCCUCAGCCCGUCGCGCUGCCAGCUCUUCUCCAGCGUCCACGGUGGCACAACGUGGUCCAUGAGCGCUACAGAGCGAGUGUGCCCGGGUACGUAGAUGCCUGCGCCCAAGUGCUCGCAAAUGUCCGCAGCAUGUGGGAGGUAUGCGCGGCGAACCGCCGUCGCCGCGAGGUGGCUGGGGACAGUUGCUUCGCCGAGCACGUCAACACUCUGCUUCGUCACGCACACGCCGACGCGCUUCUGGUGCUCUUGGAAGGGGUGACCGCCACCCACCACGGCGGCGACGUGUUUGCCGACGGUGCUGCACCUUUCCGCUGCGAGCUCAUCCUGCACUUGGUCCGAAGCCUGGCAGGACGGCCAGUGGAGCUGAGUGGAAAACAUAUGGCUCACCUGAGCAAGCUUCUGCUGAGCUGCCCUCACCUGCUCACCGCCGCCCCUCCUUCGCAAAACAACCUUUCGCAGGCGCUCGCUGCUGAGGUGCAGGAGGAAGUAUGGAGCGCCUUUACGUGCUUGUGCUAUGCAACGCGCCGGAGUCUGCGCAGGCGACAAAACGUCGAGUGCCUCGAGGCGCUGCUGUGCGGCGUGUACAUGCGAGUCCAUCGCGAUCCCGCAACCGUACAGAGUAGCGGCAGGGACAGUCGCACCUCACGCCUUGCCUCUGCGAUGCUGCGGAGCGGCGUAGAUGCAGGAGACGGCGGGUGGCAGAGCCAAUACGCCGGCCAUCCUCUCCCGCCUCACCUCCUGGCAAAGGUACGGCAGGCAGCGCUAUGCCACCUCGUGCAUCGCUGCUUGCUCAGAGGUGCUCUGGCGAAAGUCGGUGCUGCCGAGGAGGCCAAUGAGGAAAAUGCACGCCUUCUCCUCUCUUGGGCACUUCUGCUGGCGCGCGAGGACAUGGACCCUGUCGUGCACGCUGCAGUCGUUUAUAGACUACGCAGGAGCCCAGGGCUGGCAGAAGGCGGCUCACCCGCUGGCGCUUCACCAGCUUGUGUCGAGUCGUGGAGGCGGCUGGCCCUUCGUGUCGAAGCAGUACUACGCCCCUCCGGGCUCGGCGAGCAGCGUGCCACUGCGCUGGCUACCGGUGCCGAGGUCUUUCAGCGAGUCGACCGGACUUGCAAGGCCACAAGGGGGUGGGCGGUGUCGUCCAUGGACCGUCGCCUGCUCGCAGCGCUGCGUGCGCAAAGGUUUGCGCAGAAGCACGUCCCACUGCGGCUAGGGAGCGCAACGGAGCCGGUGGUAUCACGGAGAGUAGGAGCAGCUCGGGCACGCACGAGAGACGCGGCGGUGCAACGUGUGUCAGACGGCGCAGCCGCCGCAUUGCACGCGUAUGCUCGUCUCCGGUGGGGACCGCUUAACAUCAGUGAGGCAGAGCAGUUGGUGACUGAUGGUGCAACGUUGGCGUUGAGCGCGGCACCCACGGACGGAGCUCGGAGAGAAGCCCACGCGCCCGUUACGGAGCGCAUGAUUGCUGAGGAAUGCGAGGAUGUCAUAGAGACCGCCGCAGAUCUGCCACUGCACGCGUUGUGCCUCGCCGAGGUCCUCUGUGUGCGCCUCCUCCGUUGCAUGCAUCGCUGGAAGGGUACAUCGCUCGGCGGCGUCAUUGCGCCUCCUGCCUCGAGUGGCACCCCGCAAGCGUCUCCAGCGGUCCUGCCCGCUUCGCAACAGCGCCGCGUUCUCGCAGCGCUGUGGAAAUUGUCAGCCUACACGCGCGCCGAGGUGGUCACUGCCGCGCUGCUUGAGCUGCAGGGCGAAGCGCGCACCACCGCGGCAACUGGCAGAAGCGGCAAUGUUCAUUCGGACCCUUCUCGCACGGCGCCGCCCAGUGCGCGGAUGGGGCUGUCCAUGCUCCCGCGCGCUUGUUGGCCACUCAUCGGCGCCGUAUGCCGGCACGCAGAGGAUGCGGUGCAUGUGACGCGCGAGUUGAUGGGCCAUCGUGAGAUGAUGGCGGCUCCCCUCUCGCUCGCAAGCCUUCAGCGGCUACGCGAGUGGUUGGUGGCUCUCCCAGGCUCGCUGCACUCCGCCCACAUGGUGAAGGCGCUCCGUGAGUGGGCAGAGAUGGAGAAAAGCAAACUGAGUGGCGCUUCGUCGCGUGCCCAGGCAUGCCUCACGGCUUGGGACGACGUGGUGCGGACGGCGUUGGAACAGCACGCCGCACAAGCACUUUUGGCUGCGUUAGACGGACAGUCUGCGGCCGCUGUAGCGGCAACCGGGCCAUGUUGCACCCCUUGCGGUGAGGAGCUGCGCAGCACGUAUGCCGUAAUGACGGGCCCUGCCUCCGCGCAGUUGCGACGGAUCCAGUGGAUCGCAGAGGCCAACAGCAGCGCAGUGCGAGAAUGGCGGUGGAGCAUGGGUGUUGCGUCUCCGCUCAUCGGAUGGACAACAGUGGGCCGAUCUGCAAGCUUGCUACACCACACCUCAGCGCUUCCUGCCGCAGUGCUCGUGGUCGAAGCGACAGAGGCAGACCUCACUGACACAGAACACGAUGCGGCGGUACGACUGCUGUGUCAGCGCUGCUUCUCCGGCCUUUCCGGCUCCGACACGUUUUCUUGGAGUGAUCGACUCGCCUGCCGAGCUCUGGAGCGGGCUCAGGCGAUGCCAAUACCCACCACGCAGCUAGGGGUGAGGAUCGACGAGGGUCUGGCCGCUGACCAUUCUUCCGCCGCCAACGGCGAUGCCGAUGCGUCAUCAUGUCAAUCGAAGCAGUGCAAAGGCAGCAUCGUCUCUGCUGCUGCCCUGCACUACCUCCUGGCUAGGGGGAACACGACCACGUCAUCAGCCACAGCAAUGGCAACUAUGUUUAGCACCGCAGAGCUGGGCGAUGCCCUUCAGACACUUUCAGUGUACGUCGAAUUCCUUGAAAAGACGCGGCGCAGUGGUGUCUACAAUGAUCCGUGCGGCGAGCGGGCGAUCGAUCGUCGACUUAGGUGCGCCGCGGCCGCCUAUGUGAACUGCCUGAGCGACACCUGGCACGUUACCAUGCGGGCUGCACCGUCGUCAACGUCUGCAGCGCCGCUCCACGUCGCCGACAAAGAGGUGCUUCUCACGUGUUUUCCUGCAUUCUACCACUGUGCGCUACGACUGUACGAUAGACUGCUGUGGGACGAGGCGGUGCUCGACAAGAGCGGCGACGAAGUCUUAAUGAAUCUUCCCUGCCUCUCUGGUGCCCUUCAUGAGGCCGCGUUUCGUGCCCUGGUGCGUACACCAGGAACAAGUAGGUGCACUAUCGAGACAACUCUGUUGCUGGCCGACCGUGUUGCGCGCCGAUGGGCCGCUCGGGGAAUGGUGUCCUCCUCCUCGAGCGUCCCCCAUUCAGCCGUGGCGUCGACCCCUUCGCUGAAAGAUCACCAGCCAGCGUUCUGCGUGCCACUCUCAGUCUAUCAGCUUGUGCUUGCCACGUACGCAGCGGAUCGAACACCACUGCCGCAGCGCGUGCGAGCGUGCUGCGAGGCGGCGCUCCGUCGCGAGGAAAAACGUCAAUGGGAGGGCCCUUGUAGGGCCCUUUUUCAUCCCCCUCCCCCGCGCCCCGACCUGGAGUGUGGGUCCGAAUCAGCACGGGCACAUGCACACAUACGCCACCAAGAAAACGAUCUGAGCGGAGAUAGCCUCUCCGACACGGGCACCCCACCGACACGGCAGGCAUGCUCUGAGCCCUCUGCUACCUUCUCUCACCGCACGCUAGCACGCGUGUAAGCGAUGCACAAGCACCCACAGGCGCUUUCACAACCGUGUCCAUCGUAGUCUUGUGUGCCGCAUUCCAGUUGCCACCACCAUCACCACCACACACUCUCGUGCACACGGCCGUCCAGCGAAUGCGCAAGACGCAUCUGGCCCUUUGUGCUCAACACCGUUGGUGGGCUGACAUCAUCCUUGCCGGCUCGUUGGUCUCUUUUCGCCGAGGUGCUCCUUCGGGGUGUUGUGCUUUAUUCGUGCGUCGCCCGCACUUCCUUCCCUUGCGCUUUCUUUUCCGAAGGUCAUGUAAGCAUCCACCCCGUGCGGAGCCGCGCAGGAGCACACACACACACACACACACCACUCAUGUGCAGCGGCCGCGUGUGCGCCAACGCAUCGCUCCCUGGUGGUGGCUGCGGGUGGCCCCCCUCCCCGAGACGAAGAAAAGCCGGCGGCAUGCCAGCAGCGACUCCCCCGCGUGGCGGAGCUCCCUCGCUCGCCGUGGGCAGAGGGUGCGGCGCAGACAGACAUCAAGUCAGGAGCGGCCGCACUGCCCCCUAGCCCCCACGCACGCAUAGGUGCAGCGACAAGAGGCUGCGGCCCCCUUGGUUGCGCCAUCGCGCUGCACGUGGCGCCGUGGAGCUGGGACGUGUCCUGCUGCGCGGAGAGCCUGACCAGCCACGACGCAGAGGGCCACGCGUGGUCGCUGUUACGGGCUGGCGCUCCCUCCUCGCGGUGCUCGACGCGGCCCCUGCAGGGGCGGAGGGUGGCGUAUCGCGGCGCGCUUGGCCAUCAUUCGUGGCGCUGCGGGCCCGCCGCGCGCGCCCCAUUGCCGCCUGUCUUUGGUCGUGGUGAGCUGGAGCGCGACGGCGACGCUGACGAGCUCGCGACAUCUGCACUGCCGGAGGAGCCAACGCCAAGCCGACAUCCCCUGCCACCCGCGCGACAGACGCGGUCCGCCUAUAUCGCGGCGCGCCGUCCGCACCUUCGCCUCCGUCUGGCGACGAGCGCGCUAGGCGCGUAGCCCGAUUCGGCGGCAGACGGUCCGUCCGAGACGCCCAGGAUGUGACCGUGGGGUGGCAGCGGCGGUGGGCGCGCUGUGGUUGCGCGUAUGCAUCCGUUGGAUGAGCUGUGCACGGUGACAAGGUAUACACACGACACCAGACAUGUGCUGCGCCGUACUCGCCACGCUCUCCUCUUGACGUUUUCUUUUUCGUGCUUCUUGCCGUCGUCUGCACGUCCCCAGUCCUCGCAUAUGUGUGUGUGUUCGCGCGUGAGCAUUCCUCGCCUCUCCCCUGAUGGCAGAGGCGAGGGCACCUUACACGGUGCGCGGUGUCGCAGGGUCCAGCGCCUACGGGGCAGGGGGAGGUGAGUGCGAUGUUGUAUCGCUGCUGAUGCGCGCGGUCAGGUCCUGUAGAGGGGGGAGGGGGCGGUGCUGCGUCGGAGCGUCCUGCUACAGCGCACACGCUGGUGCCAUCUGUGUGUUGGGCAGUGUGUGUGCGUGACUCGAGUGUAUCUCGCCUGGACCUCACCGCCCAUUGGUGGGGAGGCCGAGUGUCAUCCCGAGGAGCAUAGCAGGCGGCCGCCUGCGGACCGGGUAUGGGGGUGGGCAGGCCUUGAGGCAGGGGCCGAGCGGCGUUUGGCCUCGUGCUGUACGGCAGGGCGACGAUGGCACACAAAGAAAAGAAUUGUGUGCGUAGGCGUUUAUGGGAAUGCCUUGGAAUGCGCUCCUUCUUUCCACUUGUGACUUUCUCUCUCUUGCUAACCCGCUCUUUACGGUCCCCCUGUCAUCUGUUGUUCUAUGGUCGUGUGGGUCAUAAUGCGCAUCAACCACGUGUCCCACGCUCACUCAG
rnacentral:misc_RNA from 1 species